rnacentral:misc_RNA from 1 species
AACGCAAAUGGCGCUCUCUGGUAUCCCGGGGAGCAUGCCUGUUUGAGAACCGUAAAGAAAAGUCACUGGAAGGAUGCCUAACGGUCUUCUUCUGGUGGAAUUGGAUUACCGGCUGGCGGAUGCAUGUCUGCCUGUAUUGUGAUCCCAAAGACAUUUUUCUUAUUUUUUGGUUGCAGGGUUUGGGGGGGUGGAAAAGGAUGGGAAGUGCUUCUAUCUUCCUUUUUCCCCUAAGGCGAGGAUAAAUAGGAAGGAGAGAGACAGUUUUCUUUCUCAAACCUUCUCUUUUUUACUACAGCCGAAAGGUUUCUGGAAAACCGUUUUUCCCCCCCUUUACACCCCGAUACAUGGUCUCAAAUCAGGCAAGAGAACCCGCUGAACUUAA